rnacentral:rRNA from 1 species
UAGAAUUUGGAUUCUCUGGUCAGAUUGAACGCUGGCGGGCAGGGCCUAACACAUGCAAGUUGAGCGGCAGCAGGAAAGUAGCUUGCUACUUUGCUGACGAGCGGCGGACGGGUGAGUAAUGUCUGGGAAACUGCUGAUGGAGGGGGAUAACUACUGGAAACGGUAGCUAAUACCGCAUAAUGUCGCAAGACCAAAGAGGGGGACCUUCGGGCCUCUUGCCAUCAGAUGUGCCCAGAUGGGAUUAGCUAGUAGGUGGGGUAACGGCUCACCUAGGCGACGAUCCCUAGCUGGUCUGAGAGGAUGACCAGCCACACUGGAACUGAGACACGGUCCAGACUCCUACGGGAGGCAGCAGUGGGGAAUAUUGCACAAUGGGCGCAAGCCUGAUGCAGCCAUGCCGCGUGUAUGAAGAAGGCCUUCGGGUUGUAAAGUACUUUCAGCGGGGAGGAAGGGGAUAAGGUUAAUAACCUUGUCGAUUGACGUUACCCGCAGAAGAAGCACCGGCUAACUCCGUGCCAGCAGCCGCGGUAAUACGGAGGGUGCAAGCGUUAAUCGGAAUUACUGGGCGUAAAGCGCACGCAGGCGGUCUGUCAAGUCGGAUGUGAAAUCCCCGGGCUCAACCUGGGAACUGCAUUCGAAACUGGCAGGCUAGAGUCUUGUAGAGGGGGGUAGAAUUCCAGGUGUAGCGGUGAAAUGCGUAGAGAUCUGGAGGAAUACCGGUGGCGAAGGCGGCCCCCUGGACAAAGACUGACGCUCAGGUGCGAAAGCGUGGGGAGCAAACAGGAUUAGAUACCCUGGUAGUCCACGCCGUAAACGAUGUCGACUUGGAGGUUGUGCCCUUGAGGCGUGGCUUCCGGAGCUAACGCGUUAAGUCGACCGCCUGGGGAGUACGGCCGCAAGGUUAAAACUCAAAUGAAUUGACGGGGGCCCGCACAAGCGGUGGAGCAUGUGGUUUAAUUCGAUGCAACGCGAAGAACCUUACCUACUCUUGACAUCCAGAGAACUUUCCAGAGAUGGAUUGGUGCCUUCGGGAACUCUGAGACAGGUGCUGCAUGGCUGUCGUCAGCUCGUGUUGUGAAAUGUUGGGUUAAGUCCCGCAACGAGCGCAACCCUUAUCCUUUGUUGCCAGCGGUUCGGCCGGGAACUCAAAGGAGACUGCCAGUGAUAAACUGGAGGAAGGUGGGGAUGACGUCAAGUCAUCAUGGCCCUUACGAGUAGGGCUACACACGUGCUACAAUGGCGCAUACAAAGAGAAGCGACCUCGCGAGAGCAAGCGGACCUCAUAAAGUGCGUCGUAGUCCGGAUUGGAGUCUGCAACUCGACUCCAUGAAGUCGGAAUCGCUAGUAAUCGUAGAUCAGAAUGCCACGGUGAAUACGUUCCCGGGCCUUGUACACACCGCCCGUCACACCAUGGGAGUGGGUUGCAAAAGAAGUAGGUAGCUUAACCUUCGGGAGGGCGCUACCACUUUGAUCGGUGCG